GAUGAACGCUGGCGGCGUGCUUAACACAUGCAAGUCGAACGGAAAGGCCAGUGCUUGCACUGGUACUCGAGUGGCGAACGGGUGAGUAACACGUGGGUGAUCUGCCCUGUACUUCGGGAUAAGCUUGGGAAACUGGGUCUAAUACCGGAUAGGACAACUUUUUGGAUAUUGUUGUGGAAAGCUUUUGCGGUGUGGGAUGAGCUCGCGGCCUAUCAGCUUGUUGGUGGGGUAAUGGCCUACCAAGGCGUCGACGGGUAGCCGGCCUGAGAGGGUGUACGGCCACAUUGGGACUGAGAUACGGCCCAGACUCCUACGGGAGGCAGCAGUGGGGAAUAUUGCACAAUGGGCGCAAGCCUGAUGCAGCGACGCCGCGUGGGGGAUGAAGGCCUUCGGGUUGUAAACUCCUUUCGCUAGGGACGAAGCGCAAGUGACGGUACCUGGAGAAGAAGCACCGGCUAACUACGUG
rnacentral:rRNA from 1 species